rnacentral:rRNA from 1 species
GACGAACGCUGGCGGCGUGCUUAACACAUGCAAGUCGAACGGAAAGGCCCUGCUUUUGUGGGGUGCUCGAGUGGCGAACGGGUGAGUAACACGUGAGUAGCCUGCCCUUGACUUUGGGAUAACUUCAGGAAACUGGGGCUAAUACCGGAUAGGAGCUCCUGCUGCAUGGUGGGGGUUGGAAAGUUUCGGCGGUUGGGGAUGGACUCGCGGCUUAUCAGCUUGUUGGUGGGGUAGUGGUUUACCAAGGCUUUGACGGGUAGCCGGCCUGAGAGGGUGACCGGCCACAUUGGGACUGAGAUACGGCCCAGACUCCUACGGGAGGCAGCAGUGGGGAAUAUUGCACAAUGGGCGGAAGCCUGAUGCAGCAACGCCGCGUGCGGGAUGACGGCCUUCGGGUUGUAAACCGCUUUCGCCUGUGACGAAGCGUGAGUGACGGUAAUGGGUAAAGAAGCACCGGCUAACUACGUG